GUACACGCUGUGACUAGCAUAUCAAUAAGCGGAGGAAAAGAAACUAACAAGGAUUCCCUUAGUAACGGCGAGUGAAGCGGGAAGAGCUCAAAUUUGAAAUCUUGAAAGGUCACCUUUCACGAAUUGUAGUUUAAAGAAGUGUUUUCUGUUACGAUCGUAAUAUAAGUUCUUUGGAAUAGGACAUCACAGAGGGUGAGAAUCCCGUCUAUGAUUGCGAUUUGUAGCUUUGUGAUACACUUUCAAAGAGUCGGGUUGUUUGGGAAUGCAGCCCAAAACGGGAGGUAAAUUUCUUCUAAGGCUAAAUAUUGGCGAGAGACCGAUAGCGAACAAGUACCGUGAGGGAAAGAUGAAAAGAACUUUGAAAAGAGAGUUAAACAGUACGUGAAAUUGUCAAAAGGGAAGCGUUUGACACCAAUGUUGUUUUCUCGAAAAUCAAUUAAAAAUGGCUCGAUUUUGUAUUGCUGAGACCUUAAAAGCUCACUGUACAUUUUUCGUGUCUUUUUUAAUGCACUUUUCGUUUAACAAGUCAACAUCAGUUUCUUUUGUUGUAAAAGGGUCAUUGGAAGGUGGCUUUCUUCUCGGAGAAAGUGUUUAUAGCCUUUGGCCUCUGCAAUCGAAGAGACUGAGGUCUGCAGCGUAGACUCUUCGGGGUUAGAUACAUUUGUGCUAAGUUAUAGCUUUUUAUAGACAACUUGUUGACUAUAAUUAGUCUUGUAGCUUACUCGCUUAUGCUAUUUUACCUACGCUUAGGAUGUUGAGUAGCGACAUACGCAC
rnacentral:rRNA from 1 species